UGGAAGACUAGUGAUUUUGUUGUUGUCUCACUGUGCGCUCAACAACAAGUCCCAGUCUGCCGCA
rnacentral:pre_miRNA from 1 species